UUUCAGCUACAUUUCAAAUGUUUUUAGUACAAAAAUAUUGAAAAAUAACGGAGUUAUAGCUAUCUUCGGAGGUGCCAAAAAAAAGUUCCCUAACUGCUGACAUGAUUCCGGUCGAAUGAGUUGCUGAAACAAAAAAAAAUCAAAAAGGAUAUUAAAGUUAAAUAUAUUUUCUAUACAAUGACCUACGAUUUUUGAAAAAUAUCAAAAAUUGACAAAAUGGCGUAGUUCUGAAAAAAAUUUCGAUUUUUUCGGUAAAAAAAUGGUCUUUUUUUUAAAUUCCAAAUUGACAAUUUUCAACCAAUCAAAAGUAUCGCAAAUUUGAAGUCAAUCGGUUAAUUUCUCGUUGAGUUAUGAUGUCCGCAAUUUUGAGAAAUGUCGUUUCGAGAAAAACACGUUUAAAGUUUCGACUAUGAUGGCUUAUGCCCGCGAGCGGUCGCUGUUUAGAACGCUGCCAUUCAAAAACUAUUCAAGAAACGACCUUACCGCUUUCACUGGGUAUUUUUGAAAGUAUAAACUAUCGAAUAAGCAAAAAAUAAAAAAAAUCGAUUUUAUGAAAAUGUCACACUGAUGGCUAUACCUUAAGAUGGCGGUUGGCAGAAGAUGAGAUCGGAUAAUUCCGUAAAUAAAUCGGCCUUUUUAACAAGGUAUUUGAGGAAGACGGAGUGAAAUCAUGCCAGCGCUUCCUCCUUCAAUGUCCAACAAUCACCAGACUAAGGUUAAAAUACCUCGGUAGUCACAUCUAACCCAGCGAAUAGAAUGGUAUCGACCGACUUAAACAAACUUUGAAACAAAGUCCAAUCGCUUUGUCGAAUCGUGAGAAUCCGUAGGAGUAUAUGGGUGCCACAAAGGCCAAUCGAAGCUGUCUAAAUGAGAUUCUCUGUAGUCGUGGAUAUCUAGCCCUUGACCUAACCUAACCUAAUAAGGUAUUUAGAAAAUAUUGUAUACAUAUAGGGUUAAACACCUCGGAAGGCAUACUUUCGUCGAACCCAGCGAAUUGACUGCUAUCGACAUAAGCCGACUUAAGGACUUUCAACAGAGUCCAAGCGCUUUGUCGAAUCGUGAGAGUCAGUUGGAGUAUAUGGGUGCCACAAAGGCCAAUCGAAGCUGUCUAAGUGAGUUUCUCUACAGUCGUGGCGAUUUACCUCUUGACCUAACCUAACCUAACACCGUAUUGAGAAAAUAUUGUGUACACUAUUGUAAUGUGUUACUUAAAUUUACUUGCUUACUUUAGUGAUACUUUUUUCGUUAAAUAGGGUGGCUUUUGAGAGCUAUAUCAUAUCCUAGAGACAUAAUUUCGAACCAGUUGUCAAAGUAAACUAAUGUAUUUGACUUGUAUGCUCAUUUGACAAACGGUAAUGUAAAGGCUUAAAUGAAAAUACUUAUAAAAACAUGAAGUUACAUUUCUAAAAAGUCACGCCCUUUCUGGAAAAUUCAAGAAUCAAAAUUUUACUGUAAGAGCAUCUUCGACAAUCGGGCUCAUUUCUGCUAUCCUGAGUAGGCUCUGUACUUCCUUGUACCAAGAAAAAGUUAAUACUGGUGGGUUCUACAUGCCAAAAUCAUUAUGGGUUCCUUUAUUUUCUUUUAACUUCAAAGGAGUGAUAUAUUUCUAAACCCGAGCUUCGGCGGAGUGGUUAAUAAGUUAUGCUACUAGUGGAAUCUGGGUAUUUCCACGAAAUUUUCCGUCAUUUACAAAUGUUAAUCAAAGUUUAUCGCUGAGAAUAAAACAAAGCUUCGGCAAAAGUAUAUUUUUUUAGUUCAUAAGCCUUAUAUGUACAUAAAACCACUCGAGAUCUCAGCCUACACCCAACUAACUCCCACGGUAACCAUUUUGCACCAGUUCAAGUGGUGUGACGAAUGCAUAGCUAUUACAUAUAGAUAAGUAUGUAUAAAAAGACUGAAAAAUACAAAAAUAUAACCCUAUAUAAAUAUUUGCAUGAGUACAAUUGUACAUUAUCAGUCGACGCCGCCUCCUCCGUCUGCAACGCCACCGUCUACCGGAUGCGCCUUAAUCGCCGAUAAGAAUUUGUUGUGCACACCCCAAUAGGCAUUCGGGUGAGGUGGCAACAGUGACUAGCCAACGUCAAACCGUCAAGUGAACCGAGUCAGCAGACCUCGAGAUCGUGUGCGUCGCAAAGCCCCAGAUGUUAUACUCACACAAACGUUGUCGCGACAUUACGAGUAUACUACCAGUGCGAGUGCCAAUACGAAUAUGACCAUAAGUUGUGUAAAUAUUUGCUGUGGCUGGUGCAGCACGACAACAAUAUCAAUGCUUGUGCUUGGAGUGUGUGUGUGUGCUUUAACAACAAAAACAGGCAAGAACAAGAAUAGCAAAUAUGCAAACAUCUACAAACAUACGCGUGUAAAUAUGUAUAUUUAGAAAAGCAAGUGUGAACGUGACAGCAGCUCCACCUUCCACAAGUUGUGCUUAUUAUUGUUGCUGCUGCUGCUGCUGUUGUUGUUGUUGUUGACUUUUAGUUGCGAACGAAAGUGAUUGCAUGUAAAACAAAUAAAGCGCCGCCUCGCCGAACACCGGCGCUCCAGCGACAAGUGCUCCAUCAACAGCUACACCAUUAGCACCUACCCACAACCCCACCCCCUCCGCUGGCACAGCAGUAAGCGUCGACAAUUAACCAUUUAUAGUACUCGUGCAUGCUCGUAAAAGCGGUAAAUAGUUAUAGCGAGGGAACCAAUAGGCGGCGGUGGCGGCGCAUAGUAGACGGAGGAGACGGGUGAUGAGGUUUACAAUCGACGUGUUGCCUUCAGGCAUUGCACGCUGCCACCGCCGCCGCCGGUGAUAAGCAUUACAGCGGCGUUGCAGCGGGGUGGAGGGGGGCGUUGAGCAAAAAGCAAAUAACCGCUGAUAAACGCCACGACAAACAAUUCAUGGAAAAUUUCUGAAUAACAAUAAACAACAAUAUAACAACAACAAGCGGCAUAACGACAACGACACAAUGAAAUCAAGUGUAUAAAAUGAUGAAGCAAUUGGGUGCACAUACGCACACACCAAUACAUAUGUAUAUAUGACAUGUAUUACAGUGAAAGAAAUCGCCUGGAAUAUAUGACUCCUAAAAUUGCCGUACAAAAAUAACAAAUAAAGUCUUAAUUUAGACAAAAAACCAUGGCGUUUUGCUCAGGUGCACGUAUUUGGCAGAAAGGUGGGAAUAUUAUUACAUACAUAUGAGAGCCUUAAAUGUACUUAUAUUUAUAAGGUUUCUAACCGCUCAUUGACCAAUUGACACCUAUGCGAAAAUACAAAAAAUUGGUUAUCACAUACGACAAUAUCAAGUGAAAACGGUCGUGGCCGAAGGCCGUUGAAUCGUCCCAAACAGUGGCCAAGCCGGGAUUGACGGCCAGGAAGGUUUUGCUGUGUGUUUGGUGGGAUUGGAAGGGAAUCUGCGAACAACUGGACCGCUUGAAGCAGGCGAUCGAUCAGAAGCGUCCACAAUUGGCCAACAGGAAGGGUGUAGUGUUCCACCAGGACAACGCCAGACCACACAUUUUCUAGAUGACUCGUCAGAGCUACGGGAGCUCGGAUAGGAGGUUUUAUCGCAUCCACCACAUAGCCCAGAUCUUCGCAAGUAAGGAGGGGGUCUUCUACGAGGGGGGUAUUCUGAAGUUGCCGUCUAGAUGGAAACGGAUUAUCGAACGAAACGGCGCAUAUUUGAACUAAAUUCGAUCAUUGUAACAUUUUUUAUAAAGCAUUGAGCAAAAAAGCGAAAGAAAAAAGGAUUAAACAACCUAAUGUGAGGGUUGAAUCCAUUUCUGAAAUAUUUUGUUAUCAAAAAGUAAAAUAAAAUAAUAUUUUUUAUUAAGAUCUUCUGAUCGACAAUUACCCAUAAUUCUUAACCUAGUGUUAAGUAAUUCUGUAUUUACAUACAGAGAUACAUACUUCUUUAAUUUGUUUAUUCCAUCUACUCUAAUCAAUCCUGUAAAAUAUUCCUUGAUUAGCUAAUGUCUGUUAUCAAUUUUCAAUAGACUGUUUUUUGACAGAUCACGCGUGAGUCGUGUUCAGUUUUGUUUGGCAUUUCAACAUGGAAAUACUUACGCUUGAACAACGUAUAUAAAUUUCUGCCCCAAUGGGUAUGCAAGCAAACAAAAUUGCCGAAUUUGGGCUGAAGAGUAACCUGAAGAGAUUCAAAAGCUGCCAUUCAAAAAACAACGGUUUGGUUUGGUAUUUCAAGGAAUCAUCGGUUAUUCAAAAAUGAUGCCGAUGAGAACGUAACCGUCAAUGUCGAAAGUUAUCGCGCCAUUAUUAUCGAUUAUUUGAUGCCUGAAUUAAAACUCGUGUUCUCGGCGACAUUUGGUUUCAACAAGACGGCGCCACUUUUCAUACAUCGCAUCAGUCAAUGUAUUUACUGAGAGAUCACUUCGGUAAGCAGAUAAUUUCACAUUUUGGGCCGGUCGGUUGGCCACCAAGAUCGUGUGAUAUCACACCGUUCGACUUUUUCUCAUGGGGAUAUGUAAAGUCAAAAGUCUAUGCGGACAAUCUAGCUUCGAUGCAGGCCUAGGAGCAAAACAUAACGCGGAUCAUUCGCCAGUUACCAGUCGAAACGCUCGAACGAGUCAUCGAAAAUUGAACUCAAAGGAUGGACCAUCUGAGACGUAGCCGCAGCCAACAUUUGAAAGAGAUCUUUAAAAAUAAAUGCCACAGAAUGUUUCAUCGAAUAAUAAAACUAUUCAAAGAAUUGUUUAUGCUGGAUUAUAAAACUUUAAUGGAUUACUGUAAUUCAGACAUUUUUAUAAGAGUUCCGUAAGGAUUAAAACUCAUAACCGCCUUUACGUCAACCUAAAAAUUUUAAAUAUUAUAAAAUUGGUCUUGAAGAUUUUAAUCUCCAACCCUAACUAUGAAUAUACAUGUAUCUAAUGCUACUGUCACUACAUAUCACAGGAAAAAGCCUAAUAUUAGGGUUUUCAAACUUUCAAUGGACUUUAUACCAUAUAUAUGCAGAAUAUGUGAGUCAAAUUGUUUGUUAUAUUAAUAAAUUUAAAUAAAUAAAUUGCGAGAGUGUAAAAUGCCCUUCCUUACUUGUUUUUUUUUUAUUUUUUGCUAUAAAAAUAGAAGUUUUUGGAAUUUUUAAAUAAUAAUAUAGCGUUCCAUGCGUUU